UACGGGGAGGUGCGAGCGUUGUCCGGAAUCAUUGGGCGUAAAGGGCGCGUAGGUGGCGGGACAAGCGUGCGGUGAAAGCUCGGGGCUCAACCCCGCGUCGGCCGUGCGAACUGUUUUGCUUGAGCACUGUAGAGGCAGGCGGAAUUCCGGGUGUAGCGGUGGAAUGCGUAGAGAUCCGGAAGAACACCGGUGGCGAAGGCGGCCUGCUGGGCGAGUAGCUGACACUGAGGCGCGACAGCGUGGGGAGCAACAGG
rnacentral:rRNA from 1 species